rnacentral:rRNA from 1 species
CGGACGGGUGAGUAAUGUCUGGGAAACUGCCUGAUGGAGGGGGAUAACUACUGGAAACGGUAGCUAAUACCGCAUAACGUCGCAAGACCAAAGAGGGGGACCUUAGGGCCUCUUGCCAUCGGAUGUGCCCAGAUGGGAUUAGCUAGUAGGUGGGGUAACGGCUCACCAAGGCCACGAUGCAUAGCCGACCUGAGAGGGUGAUCGGCCACACUGGGACUGAGACACGGCCCAG